UCCCUGGUGGCUCAGACAGUAAAGAAUCUGCCUGUAAUGCAGGAGACCCAGGUUCAAUCCCUGGGUAGGGAA
rnacentral:tRNA from 1 species